GGGAACUCUGACACAGGUGCUGCAUGGCUGUCGUCAGCUCGUGUCGUGAGAUGUUGGGUUAAGUCCCGUAACGAGCGCAACCCUUGUCCUUAGUUACCAGCACGUUAUGGUGGGCACUCUAAGGAGACUGCCGGUGACAAACCGGAGGAAGGUGGGGAUGACGUCAAGUCAUCAUCGGCCCUUACGGCCUGGGCUACACACGUGCUACAAUGGUCGGUACAAAGGGUUGCCAAGCCGCGAGGUGGAGCUAAUCCCAUAAAACCGAUCGUAGUCCGGAUCGCAGUCUGCAACUCGACUGCGUGAAGUCGGAAUCGCUAGUAAUCGUGAAUCAGAAUGUCACGGUGAAUACGUUCCCGGGCCUU
rnacentral:rRNA from 1 species